rnacentral:miRNA from 1 species
UAAGGUUACCAUUCAUCAUGGUUUGCCUGGGACCGAGAGGCUUCCCAGGAUGCAGAUCUUCCAGAGCU